rnacentral:rRNA from 1 species
CGAACGGAGAUUAUACGCAGAGGCGAUUUCGGUCAAAUCAUGUAAAAUCUUAGUGGCGGACGGGUGAGUAACGCGUGGGUAACCUGCCUUACACUGGGGGAUAACACUUCUAAAUAGGUGCUAAUACCGCCAUAAGCGCACGAAGCCGCAUGGAUUUGUGUGAAAAACUCCGGUGGUGUAAGAUGGACCCGCGUCUGAUUACCUUGUUGGCGGGGUAACGGCCCACCAAGGCGACGAUCAGUAGCCGGCCUGAGAGGGUGGACGGCCACAUUGGGACUGAGACACGGCCCAAACUCCUACGGGAGGCAGCAGUGGGGGAUAUUGGACAAUGGGGGGAACCCUGAU